rnacentral:rRNA from 1 species
AGUGAACGCUGGCGGUAGGCCUAACACAUGCAAGUCGAACGGCAGCACAGAGGAGCUUGCUCCUUGGGUGGCGAGUGGCGGACGGGUGAGGAAUACAUCGGAAUCUACUCUGUCGUGGGGGAUAACGUAGGGAAACUUACGCUAAUACCGCAUACGACCUACGGGUGAAAGCAGGGGAUCUUCGGACCUUGCGCGAUUGAAUGAGCCGAUGUCGGACUAGCUAGUUGGCGGGGUAAAGGCCCACCAAGGCGACGAUCCGUAGCUGGUCUGAGAGGAUGAUCAGCCACACUGGAACUGAGACACGGUCCAGACUCCUACGGGAGUCAGCAGUGGGGAAUAUUGGACAAUGGGCGCAAGCCUGAUCCAGCCAUACCGCGUGGGUGAAGAAGGCCUUCGGGUUGUAAAGCCCUUUUGUUGGGAAAGAAAUCCAGCUGGCUAAUACCCGGUUGGGAUGACGGUACCCAAAGAAUAAGCACCGGCUAACUUCGUGCCAGCCGCCGCCGUAA